rnacentral:ncRNA from 1 species
CUUAUCAAGAGUGGUUGAGGGAAUCGGCCCGAUGACACCCGGCAACCUGCGCUGUUUGCAAGGUGCUAACUCCGGCAGUUAAAUACUGAAAGAUGAGA